AUUGAACGCUGGCGGCAGGCCUAACACAUGCAAGUCGAGCGGAGCGGCGGACGGGUGAGUAAUGCCUAGGAAUCUGCCUGGUAGUGGGGGAUAACGUCCGGAAACGAGCGCUAAUACCGCAUACUAUCAGAUGAGCCUAUGUCGGAUUAGCUAGGUGGUGGGGUAAAGGCCUCCCAAGGCGACGAUCCGUACCGGGCCUGCGAGGAUGAUCAGUCACCCUGGAACUGGGACCCGGUCCAGACUCCUACGGGAGGCAGCAGUGGGGAAUAGUGGACAAUGGGCGAAAGCCUGAUCCAGCCAUGCCGCGUGUGUGAAGAAGGUCUUCGGAUUGUAAAGCACUUUAAGUUGGGAGGCGUUCCCAACAGAAUAAGCACCGGCUAACUUCGUGCCAGCAGCCGCGGUAAUUC
rnacentral:rRNA from 1 species